GCUUAGUCGUAAACCCAAUUGGUUCAAUAACAAGACCAUUCGCCAGAGUACUACCGGCAACAGCCUAAAACUCAAAAGACUUGGCGGUGCUUCACAUCCUUCUAGAGGAGCCUGUUCUAUAAACGAUAAACCCCGAUAAACCUCACCAACUCUUGCUACUUCAGUCUAUAUACCGCCAUCUCAAGCAAACCCUAAAAAGGAAUGAAAGUAAGCACAACUAUCUCUCACAAAAACGUUAGGUCAAGGUGUAACCUAUGGGUUGGAAAGAAAUGGGCUACAUUUUCUAUAACAAGAACAUCCUCAUAAAUGAUACGAAAGUUUUUAUGAAACCUAAAAACUAAAGGAGGAUUUAGCAGUAAACUAAGAAUAGAGUGCUUAUUUGAACAAGGCCAUGAAGCACGC
rnacentral:rRNA from 1 species